rnacentral:lncRNA from 1 species
GUUAACAAUCCCUGAAUCCUUCAUGGAAGGGACACACAUCCCUCCAUAACACCUGCCUCCUCAAUCCCCCUUAUCCUGUAGCACUCCAGAGCAGCAUUAAUACUAUUUUAAAAAGCAAAAUUCUAAAAUGGGGAAAGCUUCUACAAGCACCUUGGUCAGUUCCAGGUGUAGAAGUUACAUAGUAGAUCAGAACCAUAACUUUUAACUUUAACAAGCAGUAGGAAAACAAGCACUUACAUUGUAUAAAGUAACAACACAACACUAGCAUACUUGAAAGGUUUAUACCACGCUACUAACAAAUCGCAACACAGACUUACCUGGAGCACUGAGGAAUAACACAACUUGAAGCAGUUUUUCUUAUUAAAAAACAAAACAAAACAAACAAAAAAACCCAAACCAAACCAAAACAAAAAAACACAGAAUUUUCUUCAACACAACACCACUAGCAUUGUGUUAUCUCAAUACCAGCAAGGCACAGCAGGCCUCUCUGGUAAGUGUGAGGUAAAACUACUUCCCUCUUUUUCCACUGUUCAAAAGAGCUUAACAAAGUCUGAAGAAAAGCCCUUGAUUGUCCUUAUUUUGUAAGGGGGAAUGUGCCCUGCCAUUGUGUUAUCUCGCUAUGCUCUGCUGUGGAAGCUUCCAGAAGGCACUGAGCAGGGCAGGGCUGGGCUGCUAGGCCGAGGUGAAAUGGUGGUAUUUCCGCAGCCUGCACAAGCUGGGAGGAGCACUUCAGCCUGUGACACCACAGGAAAGCACACUGUGAAGGAGAAUACUGCCUUCCCUUACUGCUUUGUUGCUGCUAAUGACUGUGUCUCUUACUGAAUGACUACCACCUUCAGAACAGAGACUGGACAGCUUUGCGUAGUGAAUGAAUUGUUACUUCUUAGAUUAAAUACCUUCAUGUUUGUAGAGAAUGAGACAGAAGAAUGCAGGAAGAGAAGGAAGGAAAAGGUUGGUUUUAUCUGUUAAAGCAAUUUAAGUUUGCCUUGAUGAUUAGAUUUAGGUACUGAUUCUGGCUGUGAUGGGUUGAUUCCAAGGUCAACCUUCUGUCAGUUGCUAGACACCCACAUAGAGAGUCUUUCACUCCCCCCUCCUCAGUAGGAUGACAGGGGAGAAAAUAAGAUGACAAAGCUCACAAAUCAAAAUAAAGGAGAUCACAACCACA